rnacentral:rRNA from 1 species
AACGAACGCUGGCGGCAGGCCUAACACAUGCAAGUCGAGCGAGAUCUUCGGGUCUAGCGGCGGACGGGUGAGUAACGCGUGGGAAUAUGCCUCUUGGUACGGAAUAGCCUCGGGAAACUGGGAGUAAUACCGUAUGUGCUCUUUGGGGGAAAGAUUUAUCGCCAAGGGAUUAGCCCGCGUUGGAUUAGGUAGUUGGUGGGGUAAUGGCCUACCAAGCCGACGAUCCAUAGCUGGUUUGAGAGGCUGAGCAGCCACACUGGGACUGAGGCACGGCCCAGACUCCUACGGGAGGCAGCAGUGGGGAAUCUUAGACAAUGGGGGCAACCCUGAUCUAGCCAUGCCUCGUGAGUGAUGAAGGCCGUAGGGUAGUAAAGCUCGUUCAGCUGGGAAGAUAAUGACGGUACCAGCAGAAGAAGCCCCGGCUAACUCCGUG